rnacentral:lncRNA from 1 species
AAUCUCUUCAAGAUUCUGAUUUCGUUUCCUUCGGAUAUAUACCCAGAAUGGGUUUGCUGGAUUACACGGAAUUUUUGGGUGUAAUUUUUAUAACUAUGAAAAUAAUUCCAAAGUGAAAAUGAUGAAACACAUUCGGAGAAGUCUAGCUUCCCCUCCUGACCCCCAACCACCUGUUCCUUCUUCUUAGAGGUAACCAUGUUUAUUAGGUCUUAGUUUCUACUUCCAUUGUUUAUUUUGAAAACAUAAACAAGUAGUCAUAUCUGGUCUUAUAUUGCCCCUUUGUUUUGUGAAAAGUACCUCCUGUAACACUGUCCUGAACCUUGCUCGUUCCCGUCCUGGUGUGUCCUGGAGAUCAGUCCAUAGCAGUAUAUGGAAACCUUCCUCAUUUCCUUUGACAGCUGCAUGGGGUUCCAUUGCUCCAAUGCACCAUAUUUUAUCCAGGAAAUCUUUUAUGAUGGACUCUUGCUGGCAAAAGUUAUUGCUGCUGGGUGUGUGGGAAAAAAGUACUCUGAAAUAAUAGGAAAUAUCUAUUUUGGCCUCUGCUCCCAGUUCCUGGCACAGAGCUCCUGAAACCUUGUGCCCUCCUAAAUGAUGGAAGCACCAGUAGCAUCUUCUGUUCUAGCAUUUGUUCUUUGAGCCUGGGUCCUGACACAGAGCUCCUGAAUCCUUUGUAAUUUCCUGGGUGAUAAGAGCAUCACUUGUUCUAACGAGGUGACUCUUCGUGGGUUCCUGAAUAACUUCAGGAUCUGAGCUCAUCACCAGAAAGGCCAAGGGGUGAUGAGAAGUUUGGCACUUUCAGUCCUACCCCAUCCUCCAGGAAGGGCAGAGGGUCAGGAAAUGGAAUUAGUGUCCAUCAGACCUAUGUGAUGACGCCUCCAUAAAAAUCCCACUAGUACAGGGUUUGGAGAGCUUCUGAGUUGGUGAACACGUUUACACACACCAGGAGGGUGGCACAUCCCAAACCCACGGGGACAGAAGCUCCUAUGCUCAGGGCCCUUCCUGACCUCGCCCUAUAAAUGUCUUCAUCUGGCUCUUUAUCCACAUCCUUUAUUAUGCCCUUUAAUAAACCCGUAAAUGUAAGUGUUCCCUGAGUUCUGUGAGCCAUUCUAGCAAAUUGUCACACCCAGGGAGGGGGUCAUGGGUGCCCCAGUUGAUAGCUGGUCAGUCAGAAGUGCAGGUGACAACCUGGCCCUUUUCAACUAGCGUCUGCAGUGGGGCCAGUCUUGUGGGACAGAGCCCUUAACUUGUGAGCUGUGGUGCCCACUCUAAGUAGUCAGCGUUAGAACGGAGUUGAAUUGGGGAAGCCCAGCUGGGGUUGGAGGAUGGCUUGGUGUGUGGAGCACUGCCGGGGUCCAGCCUCGGCAGAGUCCAGGUUCCCGCGGGAGAGACGGCGUCGGCGAAAACCUGAGGGAGGGGGAAAUAAAGAGGACGUGAGACUUGGGUUGGUGUUAGCAAGUCCACCUUUACUGU